rnacentral:lncRNA from 1 species
UUUUUUGUUUGUUGUUUUUUGGGUUUUUUUGUCAUUUUUUCUUUUUCUUUUUUUUAAAUAAGAAAUUUAUUGCAAAUAUAGAAAUUGAUUUUCUCCAUACAGGAAUCUCCAAGUUGAGGAAAAAUGAUUUCGUGCCAUUCAAAACAGGAAAAGAAAAGAAAGGAAAAAAGAGGGAAGAAAAGAAAGAAAUACAAAUCCAAAAGAAGAAAAGAAAGAGGAAGGAAACAAAGAAAUAAAAAGAAGAAGAAAACGUAACUCCAACUCAAAUUUGUCCAUACACAACCAAGGGGGGUCACAGGGUUGUUACGGAAGGAGGAACACCAAAAGAGGCCACAAGGAGCCAGUCCCAGCAGCUGCCUCCCAGGCCCUUCCUUACAUUCGAGGGCUGAUGCCCCCAGCUCUGUGCCUGGCAGUUUGCCUGCCCCUUCCCAUCCCCUCGCCCCAGGUGCUGUGCUUGUGGAUGGACCAGUCGUACCAGUCCUGGAGGGUCUGGACUGACCCGGCUGGCCUCUCCCAAGGUGGAGAGCAGGCCACGGGGGCAGGACACCCAGGAGCAAGGCCUCACAGUGGCGGUGGUAGUUAUGGGGGAGGCAAAGGCCAAGCCAAACGCGUGAGGAUGGGGCAGACAGUGUGGGGACCAUAAGGGCGAGAAGGGGCAAGGAGGACAGGAGGUGCCCACGCAGUGGAAGAAGGAGAAGCCGGACAGAGACUGCCCUCUCUCCACCCCAGGGACAAGGGGUAGGGUUGGGGCAGCCCUGGGGAGAGCUGCCCUGGUGGGACUGCAUGUGGAGAGCUAUAGAGACGUCUCUCCACAGCAAGAGGAAGGGGAGGGGAGGCAGACCGAGAACACCCCUCACAGUACAAGGCUGGAGGGACGAGGUGUGGGAGUGCGUGUGUGUGUAGGGGGAAGGCGACAGACGCUCCCCUCAGCCCCUUCUUCACAGAAAGACCCAAACCCACCUGCCCCCCAGCCAGGGUGGGCAAGGGGCAGCUGAGCUGGGGCAGGCUCCCACAGCCCUACUAGACACCCCACUCAGUGUCCAUCCCGCACCAAGCCACCUUCAAGAUGCUCCCUCCUGCUCAGAUAAUGGGACAGCAGCAGGCUGACUCCAGCAAGAGGACAUGGGUCCAUGAGGCUCUUCUUGCAUGGGGCUUGUGCUGAAGGAGGUGGUGGUGGUGAUGGAGAGGGCGUUCUCCAGGCUCCUGGAGGCUGUGUGUCCUUCCAGACGCAGCUGAGCUUUCCGGUCAGCAACAGGCAUGGCAAAUGUGCUUUUCAGGGCCUUGGGUCCGGCUCCUGCCCGUGUGGCAGCUGCCCACCCUGUAGCGCUGAGCUCUGCCCUACAGAGGUCACAGCUUCUACACCAUGAAGUCUGCCCAGCUUUUCUCUUGGGGCACUGCUAACCCCACCUCCUCUCAGAGAGCCUCCAGCCCUGCACUCAACCCUUUCUCUCUCUGGUCCCUUUCUCCCUUUACCAUUCCAUUUUUUCCAGUAUGGCCAUCUCUUCCCCUGUUCUUUGCAGCCUGUCCCUCUUCUUCACCCUCUCCAUCUCCUUCUACCUGUCCCUUCUUUGUCUCACGAUUUCUUGGUCCCCCCACACCUUCCUCACCCCUGUCUGCCCCUCCUCUUUCUUCCUCAGCUCCUUCUUCCCGUUCCCUCCUGCAUCUCCCCCUCCUUCCUCCAGGCCCGUAUGGCAGAGCCUCCUCCAGGAAAGCAGGCUGAUUAGCAUUGCAAACACACACAGGCCUCCUCAGCCCAACAUAAAUCUUCAUUUGUCAGUCAUGAAUAUUUCACACCUGCCUCGGGAGGGAUUUAUUCAGCAUGGAAGAGUGGGGAAGGGGGAGAGGGAAACGGCAGCAUAAGCUGGGGCAGCACCGGCAGGGAUGGGGAAGAGCUCUGCCUCAUGGAACAGCACACCUAGGGUCUCACCUUCACUCUUCUGGAGGAACCCACCCCAGGCUCCCCGCCAAGCCUGUUCCUGGGGGAAGAGGGCAAGUCAGCACCCAGCCUCUUUCCUCACCCUUCAUGCUUUCCAGUGAGGUGAACUAAAUCCCUGCUUUCCAUGCCAAGACUAACCAACCCAGAAAUAAAGUGUGAAAGGGCUUGUCCUGGUUCUGCCCAAUGAAUCCACUUUGCCCUGGGAGAAGGCAGAGGUGAGGGACUCUUGCCAAAGCCAAGCCACAGGGGGCUUACGAACUUCAGGCAGUCUCUCCAUGCUUUUUACCAUCACAGAGGUCUUAAAGGUCUCAUCAUGCCCUGCCCUCUGCCAGAGCCACCCACAGGAAAGGAGGGGUAGGACAGACCUAAUCCAGAGCUCCCUGCAAUCAAUGAGAGGAAGGUGGUGGGAGGUCUUCAAGUGAUUGCAACCAGCUCCACAUCAAGCUUUCACUGUAUCAGAGGUUUCCCUGCAGCUGAAGCACUCCUUAUGCCCCCAAGAAAAGCCUUGCUUGUAGAUCUGGGAAAGAGCAACCAGGGCAUGGGGAUGGUAGUGACCCAUUUUCAUAAAAGAAAUGAUCCCAUUUCUUUUAUGAGAUCUAUCUUGAUUGGCCUCACUCCUGUUUCUAAAUAAUUAGGAGAAAUUAUGACCACUAGAAAGAGCCAGCAUUUGGUAUAUGACACAUCCCUCUUCACACACAGAACCCUGAAAAGCAGCUGAGAGACCACAUUUGGGGUAAGGGAAGGGAGACACUGGAAAGAAGGAGGAAUAUUUCUUAUGCAGCUGAUUGGGUUGGGUUCUCUUUGGGGUGUGUACCCUCCCAAACUGGUAGGAGCCUCUCAUAAAAUCACAUCAGGGAUGAAUGAAAGGAGCAGGGAAAACAGGGACAAGGACAGGAGAGACUAUGGGGGAGAAGGUUAAAUUCCAACAAACUGGCACAUACACAACAGGUGUUUGCUCAGAAAAAUACAGUAAAAUCGUCAUGCAAAUAGAACGUUAAAUCUGCUUUCCUCCGACAGGGCUGGCGCCACUUUGCGAGCCCUUGUCCCUGGGGAGGGAGCAGGACAAGGAAGAAGGGAGGAGGAAGGAAGGUGAGACUUUUUUUUCCCUUCCUUGCCCUCUUCCUCCCACAGAACAGUCCAUCUUGUGCAAACUUCACCCACUGGUUUGGAGUGGGGGGCUACAAUUGGGAGAGAAAUGGCUUGUCCCUCCUACCCAGCCUUACUCCCACUGCAGGCAGAAGAAGGGCCUGGUGAUAGCUGUAUCCCUGACCUUUCUUUUCUGCCUCGCUGGGGUGAUGGGGGAAGUGAGAAGAAACUAUUACAGGUUAACACUCCCCACAAAAGUGCAGACUGAGCAGAACUGAUUACAAGACCAUACAGCAGAGAAGCACAGGGAGGGAAGAGGUGGGGAGAGGAACAGCACUCCAUCCCCCCAGGCCUGUCAUUCCCCUUAUCCUGUCCAGUUCUGUGCGCCAGCCAUUAGUCUUUCCUGCUUGGAUGGCUGACAUGCUGGAAGACCACUGGGCCUGCUCCAUGUGGUAGCUGGAGAGAUCUCUGCUGUGCCUAAGCAUCACUCACAGCAUUUACCUGUCUUGAUUUGCUGCAUUGUCCCAACAUGGAGGGACAGCUGGCAGCAGUGAUGUGACUUCCCUUCAUCUUCCUGCACACACACACACAUUAACAGACACAAAC